rnacentral:lncRNA from 10 species
GUCUUUAUGGGGGCGGGGAGAAGGGGCGCGGGUGUCGCUGCGGGAGAGUUACCGUAUUUGCGUUGAGCAGCGCAGACUGUAGAGCAAAGAGCUGCGGCCGGAGACCGGAGGAGCAGGGGCUCAGCUGGGCUUUGCAGAGUGGGCAGGAUCUUAAGACCCGAUAGGUGCAGAACCCAUCUGGACACGGAGACCAGGAAUGGAGUUCCAUGGAGGCCUGGCUGGCACUGCACCCGGGCAUGAGGACACAUCCAGUAAGAAGACCUGCCUCAAGAGGUGCACUGCGGUGACCAGUGGAGGUGACUGGUUGGAGCCUGGAAUUGGAAGCAGAUUCCAAGCUCUGGUGGACAAACUCUCCAGGCCUGGUGGGAAUCACAGCUGGGGCAGACCUCAUCCUGGCUGCCUGGCCACAGGCCCCCACUCUCUGCCACUGGUGGUAGGACGAUGCCUGUGUGGAGAGCUGGCUUCUCUGCUCCCGCCUGGUCCACCACUUGGCUAGAGUUCAGAGACAGGAAGUGAUUGGUCUAAGCUAACACAGCAAGUUGGUGGCAGACCUGGUUCUAGAGGCAAAACC